rnacentral:rRNA from 1 species
GACGAACGCUGGCGGCGUGCUUAACACAUGCAAGUCGAACGGAAAGGCCCUGCUUUUGUGGGGUGCUCGAGUGGCGAACGGGUGAGUAACACGUGAGUAACCUGCCCUUGACUUUGGGAUAACUUCAGGAAACUGGGGCUAAUACCGGAUAGGAGCUCCUGCUGCAUGGUGGGGGUUGGAAAGUUUCGGCGGUUGGGGAUGGACUCGCGGCUUAUCAGCUUGUUGGUGGGGUAGUGGCUUACCAAGGCUUUGACGGGUAGCCGGCCUGAGAGGGUGACCGGCCACAUUGGGACUGAGAUACGGCCCAGACUCCUACGGGAGGCAACAGUGGGGAAUAUUGCACAAUGGGCGGAAGCCUGAUGCAGCAACGCCGCGUGCGGGAUGACGGCCUUCGGGUUGUAAACCGCUUUCGCCUGUGACGAAGCGUGAGUGACGGUAAUGGGUAAAGAAGCACCGGCUAACUACGUGCCAGCAGCCGCGGUGAUACGUAGGGUGCGAGCGUUGUCCGGAUUUAUUGGGCGUAAAGGGCUCGUAGGUGGUUGAUCGCGUCGGAAGUGUAAUCUUGGGGCUUAACCCUGAGCGUGCUUUCGAUACGGGUUGACUUGAGGAAGGUAGGGGAGAAUGGAAUUCCUGGUGGAGCGGUGGAAUGCGCAGAUAUCAGGAGGAACACCAGUGGCGAAGGCGGUUCUCUGGGCCUUUCCUGACGCUGAGGAGCGAAAGCGUGGGGAGCGAACAGGCUUAGAUACCCUGGUAGUCCACGCUGUAAACGGUGGGUACUAGGUGUGGGGUCCAUUCCACGGGUUCCGUGCCGUAGCUAACGCUUUAAGUACCCCGCCUGGGGAGUACGGCCGCAAGGCUAAAACUCAAAGGAAUUGACGGGGCCCCGCACAAGCGGCGGAGCAUGCGGAUUAAUUCGAUGCAACGCGUAGAACCUUACCUGGGUUUGACAUGGAUCGGGAGCGCUCAGAGAUGGGUGUGCCUCUUUUGGGGUCGGUUCACAGGUGGUGCAUGGCUGUCGUCAGCUCGUGUCGUGAGAUGUUGGGUUAAGUCCCGCAACGAGCGCAACCCUUGUUCACUGUUGCCAGCACGUUAUGGUGGGGACUCAGUGGAGACCGCCGGGGUCAACUCGGAGAAAGGUGGGGAUGACGUCAAGUCAUCAUGCCCCUUAUGUCCAGGGCUUCACGCAUGCUACAAUGGCUGGUACAGAGAGUGGCGAGCCUGUGAGGGUGAGCGAAUCUCGGAAAGCCGGUCUCAGUUCGGAUUGGGGUCUGCAACUCGACCUCAUGAAGUCGGAGUCGCUAGUAAUCGCAGAUCAGCAACGCUGCGGUGAAUACGUUCCCGGGGCU